CCUACGGGUGGCAGCAGUCGAGAAUCAUUCACAAUGGGGGAAACCCUGAUGGUGCGACGCCGCGUGGGGGAAUGAAGGUCUUCGGAUUGUAAACCCCUGUCAUGUGGGAGCAAAUUAAAAAGAUAGUACCACAAGAGGAAGAGACGGCUAACUCUGUGCCAGCAGCCGCGGUAAUACAGAGGUCUCAAGCGUUGUUCGGAUUCACUGGGCGUAAAGCGUGCGUAGGCUGUUUCGUAAGUCGUGUGUGAAAGGCGCGGGCUCAACCCGCGGACGGCACAUGAUACUGCGAGACUAGAGUGAUGGAGGGGGAACCGGAAUUCUCGGUGUAGCAGUGAAAUGCGUAGAUAUCGAGAGGAACACUCGUGGCGAAGGCGGGUUCCUGGACAUUAACUGACGCUGAGGCACGAAGGCGAGGGGAGCGAAAGGGAUUAGAUACCCGAGUAGUC
rnacentral:rRNA from 1 species